AAUAUUGGACAAUGGGGGCAACCCUGAUCCAGCCAUCCCGCGUGUGUGAAGAAGGUCUUCGGAUUGUAAAGCACUUUAAGAUGGGAGGAAGGGCUCUAGGUUAAUACCCUGAAGUUUUGACGUUACCAACAGAAUAAGCAUCGGCUACCCCUGUGCCACCAGCCGCGGUAAUACAGAGGGUGCAAGCGUUAAUCGGAAUUACUGGGCGCAAAGCGCGCGUAGGUGGUUCAGUAAGAUGGGUGUGAAAUCCCCGGGCUUAACCUGGGAACUGCUUUCAUAACUGCUGAGCUAGAGUACGGUAGAGGGUAGUGGAAUUUCCUGUGUAGCGGUGAAAUGCGUAGAUAUAGGAAGGAACACCAGUGGCGAAGGCGACUACCUGGACUGAUACUGACACUGAGGUGCGAAAGCGUGGGGAACAAAC
rnacentral:rRNA from 1 species